UACGUAGGGUGCAAGCGUUGUUCGGAUUUACUGGGCGUAAAGGGCGCGUAGGCGGCGCGACAAGUCACUUGUGAAAUCUCCGGGCUUAACUCGGAACGGUCAAGUGAAACUGUCAUGCUAGAGUGCAGAAGGGGCAAUCGGAAUUCUUGGUGUAGCGGUGAAAUGCGUAGAUAUCAAGAGGAACACCUGAGGUGAAGACGGGUUGCUGGGCUGACACUGACGCUGAGGCGCGAAAGCCAGGGGAGCAAACGGG
rnacentral:rRNA from 1 species